AUUUAUCUGAACUAAGCUGGCGGGAAGACUGAAGGACCCGCUGUCCCGACGCUUUAGGGGCCGUAGCCCCGGCCCAGGGAAGAGCAGCACUGAGGCACCGGCGCGGCCAAAAGCUCUUAGGAGGAACCAGUGUGCAUGCUGAAGGAGCAGCCAUGAAACAAAAGGGAUUACUAGCCCAGACUCCACCAAUUGAUUUCCCAGUCCAUCCACAUCAGCCUGGAGACUACGUGUUAAUCAAAUCAUGGAAAGAAGACAAACUCCAACAAACCUGAAAGGGACCUUUCCUCAUGUUGCUGACCACCAAAACUGCAGUUCAAAUGGCCGAGUGAGGAUGGACUCACCACACCCAGGUAAAAAAGGGGGGCGCCAUAACAGACAAAAGGCUGUGGGUGACUUUUCUGGAAACCACCGAAACCUGGUUGGUUCAAAAAGGGUUUAAACUUAUUCCUAAUAUGAAUGACUAUUUGGGGAUCAUUAAUGUCUGGUAUUCAGGGUGGAUCAUAGGAUCCCCUAACCCUGAGAUAUUAUUGGGGCCUGGGAUUAUGGGCAGGUUAUCCACCCAAAUUAAUUAUUAACUUGACCCAGACUCCUAACCCAGUAGUCAUAAAAUUUAAUGCUUGUCAGGUCCUAGAUUGUGGAACUCUAGAAAAUCAAAAACAGCUGUCAUCCAUAAAUAUCUUUGUCCAGAACUUAGCCCACAAGAACUGUAUAGACAAGGGGGAAGACGGGAGUAUACAUACCCAUGUAUACAAAUUGGAGUGAUAUUUGGUGGACCACCAGUACCAGGGGUGGACAUUCCCCCAUACUCAUGACUUACAGGCAUUAAAGGACAAGAUUCAUCUCUCAAGGGGAGAGCUUCCAGUUAAUUGUACCCACUUAACAUGUAAUCCAAUCUUACUGACUAUCAACAAUCCAGCUACACUAGCCCAGCCACCAGAAGUGGCAACUCGUAUAUACAGUUUAGGAGCUAAUGUUUCUGGAACGGACCCAGUGGGAUGAGUGGCUCUUAGAUUGGUACCUUCAACCCAACCAAAUACUCUUCCUUCCUGGCCUCCAAGCUCUACUUCUUCCCGUAGACCCUCACCUUCCCCCAACCCCAUGCCCUCAAAAUAAUCCUAACACAGCUAAAGUAGUCAAAAUUAUCAAUCUCAAACAAACAAUUCAGAUAGAAACAGGAUAAGGGACACAAAUGCCUGGUUGGAAUGGAUAAAAAUAUUCUGUGGACACCUACACAAAAUCGACUGUUAAUGUUUGUGCCACAGGGAGACCAGAGGCCCAAGUGGUUCCCUUUCUUCUGGGAUGGUCAUCAGAUCCAUGGGAUCUUGAAUAUAUGUUGGCCCUCUUCCAGGACAAAACAGCUUAGAAUAACAAGUCCUAUCGGACUUUGUCACUGCUAUUCCCUGAGGUCGGAAGUUCUGCGGGUCAGCCCCCAAGAACUGUUCAGCCGCCAAAUGAAAACAUCAACUUCUCGUGUCUAGCUAGAUCAAUAGGCAAAGGCAACUUUCUUAGGCAGUGUGACCAGGUGCAGUGAUAGCCAUUCCUACAACACUCUCCACAAUAAAUCCCAGUUCUGAGUGGCCCCCAGGCAGAUGUCUGGUAGUAUUGUGGGGGUCCACUAAUGAGCACCCUUCUGGAAAACUGGAGUGGCACCUGUACUUUGGUGCAAUUGGCCAUCCCUUUCACCCUGGCAUUUAGGCCCCAAUUACAAACUCAACCAAUCCAAAGAAAGUGAGACAUCACCCCUGGGGGUGGUCCUUUGACCCCAGGUCUAUAUUGACUCAGCGUUCCAAACGAAUUUAAGGCAAGAAAUCAAAUAGCCUGGUUUGUUGUCUUUUAGUGGUCAACCAUAAACAAAACUGUUUAUUGGAUAAACUACAUCUAUUACAAUCAACAAAGAUUUCAUUAUUUACACUAAAGAUGCCAUUAAAGGAAUAGCCAAACAGCUGGGACCAACCAGUCAGAUGGCAUGGGAAAAUAGACUUGCCUUAGACAUGAUGCUGACAGAAAAGGGUGGGAUCUGUGUAAUGAUGAGUAUCCAGUGCUGCAUCUUCAUUCCCAAUAACACUGCCCCAGAUGGCACCACCACCAAGGCCCUGUGCAGACUAACGACCUUAGCAGAUGAACUUUCAGAAAAUUCUGGUAUUAAUGACCCCUUCACAGACCUUUUAGAAAAUUGGCUUGGAAAAUAUAAGGGACUAAUAACUUCAGUCCUUAGCCAUCUAAUUGUCGUGUGAUCAGUGUCCUUGUCUUAGUUGGAUGUUGUAUAAUUACUCGUGCCAAGGGACGUACUGAAAGAUUAACAAACAAAUGGGACCUAACAAAACAAAUGGGACCUCCUCCCUACCAAACCAAUAUACUAUUAAUGGACACAAUGAAAGUCAAACUAUGCUCACAGAGUUUGAAGAAAAGAAUAUCUGAUAAAAAAAAAAAAUGAAAGGGGGAAAUUGUGAGAAUUAACAUAUGUCUUUUCUAUCAAAGGAAGCCUUGUUUACUCCAUCUUGUUCCUGCUUUGUCUGAGACUCCCUCCUCCACCCCUCUCCCCUUUUCCCUCUCCUCCCAGUAACCGUUUGUUUCAAAUUAGCCAACCUAGAAAAAUGUGCACCUUGACCUUACCAGUGGGAAGGGGACAGACGUACUGCCUGUGUUAGGAAUAAAUAAUGGGUUCUUCCUUCUUCGUGUGUGCUUGGUCGCUUGCCUGCUGGUCCUGAACUGGGAGCACUUGCGCCCUUCUGCAUAAGUAAAGAGCCUUGUC
ensembl:lncRNA